rnacentral:rRNA from 1 species
GGGGGGGCAAGCGUUUGUUCGGAUUUACUGGGCGUAAAGGGCUCGUAGGCGGCCAUCUAAGUCGGUUGUGAAAUCCCUCGGCUCAACCGGGGAACUGCGACCGAUACUGGAUGGCUUGAAGCCGGGAGAGGGAUGCGGAAUUCCAGGUGUAGCGUUGAAAUGCGUAGAUAUCUGGAGGAACACCCGUGGCGAAGGCGGCAUCCUGGACCGGUCUUGACGCUGAGGAGCGAAAGCUAGGGGAGCAAACGGGAUUAGAUACCCCGGGUAGUCCUAGCCGUAAACGAUGAAUGCUUGGUGUGGCGGGUAUCGAUCCCCUGCCGUGCCGUAGCUAACGCGUUAAGCAUUCCGCCUUGGGAGUACGGUCGCAAGGCUG